rnacentral:lncRNA from 10 species
ACUCUCCCCGUUCCCCAGCAGAGUCUGCAGAGGAUUCCUCCCAUAAAUUCUACCUACUUCUGUGACAGCAAAUCCUACAUGGUGGUGAAGUUAUACAUUUACGCCAGUCUCUCUAUCUAGACUGCGAGUGUCUUGAGGGUAGGGACUGACUGUGUCUUUUAUUUCUGUAACCCUGAUGUGCCUGGUAUAUAGUAGACAAUAAGUAAAUAUUUGCUGAAGGAGAUUGUGAAGGCAUGAAAAUGGCCUGGUUGCCCCCUCGGUGCUGAGAUCUGCUGAGAGGAGGCGCCUGGGUUCCCUCACUUGGCUUAGAUGUUGAAGGGAGUGUGGCUGGGAGAGAGGCAGUGUGAAGUCGGCAGAGUGAGGUAACAACCCACUUCAUUGUUUGGGAUAUGGGAAUCCAUAAAAUCAGGCACUGCUCUUGAAAACCCUGUACUCCUCAACAAGUUCCUCCUCUUGACAUUUGCAGAUCUAAAGAAGUACCACUUCUACUAUUGGUUUUGCUAUCCUGCCCUCUGUCUUCCAGAGAGUUUACCUCUCAUUCAGGGGCCAGUGGGUUUG